rnacentral:tRNA from 1 species
GGGGAUUUAGCUCAGCGGUAGAGUGCUUGCCUAGCAAGCACAAGGCCCUGGGUUCGAUCCCCAGCUCCG